GGGAUAAUUUCUGGAAACGGAAACUAAAACCGGAUAGGUAAUAGAGAAGCAUUUCUGUAUUAUUAAAGAAGCCUCAAAGCUUUGAACAUGGAUGGACCUGCGGUGCAUUAGCUAGUUGGUAAGGUAACGGCCUACCAAGGCGACGAUGCAUAGCCGACCUGAGAGGGCGAACGGCCACAUUGGGACUGAGACACGGCCCAAACUCCUACGGGAGGCAGCAGUAGGGAAUUUUCGUCAAUGGGGGGAACCCUGAACGAGCAAUGCCGCGUGAGUGAAGACGGUCUUCGGAUUGUAAAGCUCUGUUGUGAGAGAAAAAGGAUAUAUAUAGGAAAUGAUAUGUAUUUGAUGGUAUCUCACCAGAAAGUCACGGCUAACUACGUGCCAGCAGCCGCGGUAAUACGUAGGUGGCGAGCGUUAUCCGGAAUGAUUGGGCGUAAAGGGUACGUAGGCGGCAUGAUAAGUCUGGAGUGAAAGGCUACAGCUCAACUGUAGUAUGCUCUGGAAACUGUCAAGCUAGAGUGCAGAAGAGGGCAAUGGAACUCCAUGUGUAGCGGUAAAAUGCGUAGAUAUAUGGAAGAACACCGGUGGCGAAGGCGGUUGCCUGGUCUGAAACUGACGCUGAAGUACGAAAGCGUGGGGAGCAAAUAGGAUUAGAUACCCUAGUAGUCCACGCCGUAA
rnacentral:rRNA from 1 species